AGUCUGGUGCCAGCAGCCGCGGUAAUUCCAGCUCCGCAGGUGUAUAUCUAUGCUGCUGCGGUUAAAAAGCUCGUAGUUGGAUCUGCGUGCUCGGAACUGGUUGGCUCACUGAGUUCAAACUGGUCUCCGGCGCUUUAUUGGCUGGUUUUCCCUUGAUGCUCUUAACCGGGUGUCUUGGGUGGCUAGCACGUUUACUUUGAAAAAAUUAGAGUGCUCAAUACAGGCGUAAAGCCUUGAAUAGUGGUGCAUGGAAUAAUAGAAUAGGACCUCGGCUCUAUUUUGUUGGUUUUCGGAACGCGAGGUAAUGAUUAAGAGGGACUGACGGGGGCAUUCGUAUUGCGACGUUAGAGGUGAAAUUCUUGGAUCGUCGCAAGACGGACGACUGCGAAAGCAUUUGCCAAGAAUGUUUUCAUUAAUCAAGAACGAAAGUUAGAGGUUCGAAGGCGAUCAGAUACCGCCCUAGUUCUAACCGUAAACGAUGCCAACUAGCGAUUCGCAGGCGUUAAACAACGACCUUGCGGGCAGCUUCCCGGAAACGAAAGUGUUCGGGUUCCGGGGGAAGUAUGGUUGCAAAGCUGAAACUUAAAGGAAUUGACGGAAGGGCACCACCAGGAGUGGAGCCUGCGGCUUAAUUUGACACAACACGGGAAAACUCACCCGGCCCGGACACCGUAAGGAUUGACAGAUUGAGAGCUCUUUCUUGAUUCGGUGGGUGGUGGUGCAUGGCCGUUCUUAGUUGGUGGAGCGAUUUGUCUGGUUUAUUCCGAUAACGAACGAGACUCUGGCCUACUAAAUAGUGGGCGGAUUCUUUCUGUCCGCAACACUUCUUAGAGGGACAAGCGGUGUUCAGCCGCACGAGAUUGAGCAAUAACAGGUCUGUGAUGCCCUUAGAUGUCCGGGGCUGCACGCGCGCUACACUGAAGGAAUCAGCGUGCUUUCUGACCUUGCCCGAAAGGGCUGGGUAACCCGAUGAAAAUCCUUCGUGAUUGGGAUAGGGACUUGCAAUUAUUUCCCUUGAACGAGGAAUUCCCAGUAAGUGUGGGUCAUAAGCUCGCGUUGAUUACGUCCCUGCCCUUUGUACACACCGCCCGUCGCUGCCCGGAACUGAGCCGUCUCGAGAAGAACAGGGACCGUCGUUGAAGGGCCUUAACGGGCUUUUCUCUGAUAGAAACUGUU
rnacentral:rRNA from 1 species